AGCGAACGCUGGCGGCGUGCCUAACACAUGCAAGUCGAACGUGAAAAGGGAAACCUGGGUAAAGUGGCGUACGGGUGAGUAACGCGUAGGUCAUCUACCCCAGAAUCUGGAAUAACCUGCCGAAAGGCGGGCUAAUACUGGAUAGAGCGAGGGAACUCGUAAUAGAGUUUUUCGGGAAAGGGAGCCCGCAAGGGCCUUCGGUCUGGGAUGAGCCUGCGUCUCAUUAGCUAGUUGGUAAGGUAACGGCUUACCAAGGCGAUGAUGAGUAGCUGGUCUGAGAGGAUGAGCAGCCACACUGGAACGGAAACCCGGUCCAGAGUCAUACGGGAGGGAGCAGGGGGGAAGCUUGCGGAAUGGGUGAGAGUCUGACGCAGCCACGCCGAGUGAGUGAAGAAGGCCUUCGGGUUGUAAAGCUCUGUCGGAUGGGACGAACAUCUUCAUAGUGAAUAGCUAUGAGGACUGACGGUACCAGCAAAGGAAGCACCGGCUAACUCCGUG
rnacentral:rRNA from 1 species